GACGAACGCUGGCGGCGUGCUUAACACAUGCAAGUCGAACGGUAAGGCCCUUUCGGGGGUACACGAGUGGCGAACGGGUGAGUAACACGUGGGUGAUCUGCCCUGCACUUUGGGAUAAGCCUGGGAAACUGGGUCUAAUACCGGAUAGGACUACGCGAUGCAUGUCGUGUGGUGGAAAGCUUUUGCGGUGUGGGAUGGGCCCGCGGCCUAUCAGCUUGUUGGUGGGGUGAUGGCCUACGAAGGCGACGACGGGUAGCCGGCCUGAGAGGGUGUCCGGCCACCCUGGGACUGAGAUACGGCCCAGACUCCUACGGGAGGCAGCAGUGGGGAAUAUUGCACAAUGGGCGCAAGCCUGAUGCAGCGACGCCGCGUGGGGGAUGACGGCCUUCGGGUUGUAAACCCCUUUCAGCACAGACGAAGCGUAAGUGACGGUACGUGCAGAAGAAGCACCGGCCAACUACGUG
rnacentral:rRNA from 1 species